GACGAACGCUGGCGGUAUGCUUAACACAUGCAAGUCGAACGAGAAGUCUUUUAUUGAACCUUCGGGGGAUAUAAGAGACAGACAGUGGCGAACGGGUGAGUAACGCGUGGGCAACCUACCUAUCGGAGCGGGAUAGCCUCGAGAAAUCGGGAGUAAAACCGCAUAACACGGAUAUAUCGCAUGAUGAAUCCGUCAAAACUCCGGUGCCGAUAGAUGGGCCCGCGUCUGAUUAGCUAGUUGGUAAGGUAAGGGCUUACCAAGGCAACGAUCAGUAGCCGGUCUGAGAGGGCGAACGGCCACACUGGAACUGAGACACGGUCCAGACUCCUACGGGAGGCAGCAGUGGGGAAUAUUGCGCAAUGGGGGCAACCCUGACGCAGCAAUACCGCGUGAGUGAAGAAGGUUUUCGGAUCGUAAAAGCUU
rnacentral:rRNA from 1 species